rnacentral:miRNA from 1 species
GUGGUCCCCAACCCAGUCCUCAUGGACCACCAACAUUCCAGGACUUAUGCAUUUCCCUGUUUUAUUCCAAUAGUGAGACUGAGAAAACCUGGACUGUUGGUGGUCCGUGAGGACUGGGUUGGAGAACA